rnacentral:misc_RNA from 1 species
UUUUAAUUCCAUAUAUGGCCGUGCAGAUCAGUCCUGAUGGCAUUGCUAGUAGGGAUGAAAAAGUUUUCAGGUUUGCUCGAGAGAGAAGCAUCCCCCUCAUCAUGCUCACAUCAGGCGGUUACAUGAAAUCGAGUGCCAAAGUUAUUGCUGAUUCCAUCGUAAAUCUCUCUAGUAAAUCCCUGAUAGAUAUGAAGAGCUAGCUUACUAACUGGGCAAGCAUGUCUUUGCAUAGCUACUUAAAAAGGCCUGAAAUUGACCUAUGUGGUAAAGUCGAGAUUGCUCAUUUGUGUUGUAAGGAAAUAGAUUAACUUCCCUUGAUAGUGAAUGCUUGUAUGGGAUUCUAGAGAUGGGAAAAGCAGAGGCGAACUUGUGAAGAUUUGUGUGCCUUAAUGCAUUUAGGCUAGAAUGUAAAUUGUGUAAGUGCUAGUUCAUGUUCAUGUAGCUUGAAAUCAUUGAUACGUCAGGAUAUGGUCUCUGCUGUCAUGGAUUGUGAUGCAGGAAGGAGCAUAAUUUAACGUUAUGGCUCAAUCUUGGCAAUAGAUUGGAACCUGUUUGUACGUUGUUGUGCUUAUGUUGAUUAUCUAGAGAGUUGUGCAAUCAAGUUCU